UCUGGCGGCCAUAGCGAACAAGAACCACCCGAUUCCAUCCCGAACUCGGAAGUGAAAGUGUUCAGCGCCGAUGAUAGUGUGGGGCUUCCCCAUGUGAGAGUAGGUCACCGCCAGGC
rnacentral:rRNA from 1 species